UGAGGAAUAUUGGUCAAUGGGCGAGAGCCUGAACCAGCCAAGUCGCGUGAGGGAAGACGGUCCUAUGGACUGUAAACCUCUUUUGCCGGGGAGCAAAGAGCGGCACGUGUGCCGCGCCGAGAGUACCCGGAGAAAAAGCAUCGGCUAACUCCGUGCC
rnacentral:rRNA from 1 species